GCAAGUCGAACGAAGUAGCAAUACUUAGUGGCAGACGGGUGAGUAACAUGUAGGUAUCUACCCUUUGGCCUGGAAUAACACGAGGAAACUUGUGCUAAUACCGGAUAAGUCUUUACGGAGAAAGCUUUAUGCACCAUUGGAUGAGCCUGCACUAGAUUAGUUUGUUGGUGGGGUAAUGGCCUACCAAGACUAUGAUCUAUAGCUGAUUUGAGAGGAUGAUCAGCCACAUUGGAACUGAGACACGGUCCAAACUCCUACGGGAGGCAGCAGUAGGGAAUCUUGCACAAUGGAGGAAACUCUGAUGCAGCGAUGCCGCGUGAGUGAAGAAGGCCUUUGGGUUGUAAAGCUCUUUCGUCGGGGAAGAAAAUGACUGUACCCGAAUAAGAAGGUCCGGCUAACUUCGUGCCAGCAGCCGCGGUAAUACGAAGGGACCUAGCGUAGUUCGGAAUUACUGGGCUUAAAGAGUUCGUAGGUGGUUGAAAAAGUUGGUGGUGAAAUCCCAGAGCUUAACUCUGGAACUGCCAUCAAAACUUUUCAGCUAGAGUAUGAUAGAGGAAAGCAGAAUUUCUAGUGUAGAGGUGAAAUUCGUAGAUAUUAGAAAGAAUACCAAUUGCGAAGGCAGCUUUCUGGAUCAUUACUGACACUGAGGAACGAAAGCAUGGGUAGCGAAGAGGAUUAGAUACCCUCGUAGUCCAUGCCGUAAACGAUGUGUGUUAGACGUUGGAAAUUUAUUUUCAGUGUCGCAGGGAAACCGAUAAAACACACCGCCUGGGGAGUACGACCGCAAGGUAAAACUCAAAAUGAAAUGACGGGGACCCGCACAAGUAGUGGAGCAUGUGGUUUAAUUCGAAGAUACGCGCAAACCCUUACCAACACUUGAAAUGUUGGUCGCGCUUCUAAGAGAUUAGAGUUUCCGGUUCGGCCGGA
rnacentral:rRNA from 1 species